rnacentral:tmRNA from 1 species
GGGGGCGCAUUGGUUUCGACAGAAGCUCGGUGAUGCCCGCCGCAAGUCGAGGAUUGAGUGGGUCUUCCUCGUAAAAAAGCCUGCUCAAACAAUAAAUGCUAACGAAGAGUUGGCUCUCGCAGCCUAAAUAAGGCCUGCAGACGUCGUUGCCCUGAUUUCGGCUAAGGGACAACGGCGACAUUAGCCGGACGGUAUGUCAGGUGAGUCACCGACCUGAUAUGACGAACUAACGUGGAGGCUAAGGAAGGCGGGUGAGUUGGACCACAACCGCCUUCUCGAAAAUCUAACGCCCAAACAAACUUGUAGACGCGGUCAGGGCCUGGUUUUUGGACGGGGGUUCGACUCCCCCCGCCUCCACCC